rnacentral:rRNA from 1 species
UGGGGAAUUUUGGACAAUGGGGGAAACCCUGAUCCAGCCAUCCCGCGUGUGCGAUGAAGGCCUUCGGGUUGUAAAGCACUUUUGGCAGGAAAGAAACGUCAUGGGUUAAUACCCCGUGAAACUGACGGUACCUGCAGAAUAAGCACCGGCUAACUACGUGCCAGCAGCCGCGGUAAUACGUAGGGUGCAAGCGUUAAUCGGAAUUACUGGGCGUAAAGCGUGCGCAGGCGGUUCGGAAAGAAAGAUGUGAAAUCCCAGAGCUCAACUUUGGAACUGCAUUUUUAACUACCGAGCUAGAGUGUGUCAGAGGGAGGUGGAAUUCCGCGUGUAGCAGUGAAAUGCGUAGAUAUGCGGAGGAACACCGAUGGCGAAGGCAGCCUCCUGGGAUAACACUGACGAUCAUGCACGAAAGCGUGGGGAGCAAACAGG